GGAAGAUAUUAUCCCUUCUUCCUUCAUCUUCAUCUUCCUCCUCCUCUCCUAUUUAAGAUAGCCUUUUUUUAAUCUUCAUCCUCAUCUUCCUCUUUCAUAAUCAUCUUCAUCUUCUGUUUUUUUUUAUUGUUCACCAAUGACAACUUUUAAAGUGUUAGUAGAAGACAAAGAAGACACUAGAAAAUUUUGUUUCCAUCAUUGGCUUAUCAGUAACAAGGGUGGUUGCUAAUGUAGGCGCUACUGAUAAGCCAGCGAUGAGAAUAAAAUUGUCUAAAAUGAUAAAUUUCAUGGGGUCGCUCAGGAUUGUAGUAUGAAGAAAUGUGGUUGGCUACUUAUAAUGAAGUCGCGUGAAAUUUAUUGAAUCUAGAUGAUUGAUUUUUCUUUCUCAACAAAAGUUAUUGUUGACUGAACGAGUGAGACCAUGGUAAAAUGAAUAUUGGGUAAAUAAAAAAAUAUAGAAAAUGUAUAUUUUUAUAAAAAUACAUAAAUUUAUAUAGAAAAAUGGAAAAGGGUAGACCUCUUCCUGCAAGUAGCGAGUACCUUGGUUUGGCAAGAUUCCAUUACUGUGUGUUUGACAAAAAGGAAAGUGGAAAGAAAAAAGCUUGGUAACCAAGCCUGAGCGAGAGUCUUGUAGAUGGUGGAGAAGAUAUGUGGGAGAGAUUGUUUUUUUCUACUUCAUCAAAACAUUAUAGAGUUUUUC
rnacentral:lncRNA from 1 species